UGGGAAGGAUUUGAUAUCAUUUUGCUGAUGACGGAAUUGCUGGAACCAGCUGUUGUGUGGGAAUAGUUAGUCUCAGGUUGGUAUGAGACAAACUUGCAACUAGAAAGGCAAUGCGACUUUUUUUUGGUGGCCUCGCCCAGGUGGGCCCAUUAGGAGGGGUCCACUAGGAGGAGGGGUCCCUGGACUUGUUAUAUAUUCUCAAUUCAGUCCACGCCUCGUCAGAAGCACUCCAGCAGGACUCUGGAAUCACUGAAGGAACUGUUCUAGGUCUGAGCCUUCGCCAUGAAACUUUUUAUUUUUAGUGUGGCCUUACUGCUGGCUUUGGUUGUGUUGCUGAAGCCAGCUGCAGCCUUCCCCGAGCCGGAUGCCUACCCCAAUGCUGACCCAGGUCCUCUGGCUGACCCCCACAGGUGGGGUCGUGGAUGGGGAGGUGGUUGGGGUAGGGGCCGAUGGGGUGGUGGGUGGGGAGGAUGGGGGCGCUGAGCCCCAUUGCCCUCAACCCACACACCAUCAACUCACUGCAUAAGGAGAUCACCACUACCCCAGCAAGAUCCAAGGAUCAAGAGCCAGACGAUAUACACCAACCCUUACUAGCACCUAUAUUCUGAUACUGCUAUUUUCUGACCUCACUACGUGUCGACACUACUAAGUGUCGACACCACUAUGUGUCGACACAAGUGUAUUCUGUAUACAGUAACUACUCAGCUAUACUGACAUUGUGCUGCUCUUUUGAUAACUCUCUUAUUAAAAAAAUGUCUUUGGACUAAAAAAAAAAAUAAUAAUUGUGAA